GACGAACGCUGGCGGCGUGCUUAACACAUGCAAGUCGAACGGUAAGGCCCUUCGGGGUACACGAGUGGCGAACGGGUGAGUAACACGUGGGUGAUCUGCCCUGCACUUCGGGAUCAGCCUGGGAAACUGGGUCUAAUACCGGAUAGGACCACUGCCUGCAUGGGUGGUGGGGGAAAGCUUUUGCGGUGUGGGAUGGGCCCGCGGCGUAUCAGCUUGUUGGUGGGGUGAUGGCCUACCAAGGCGACGACGGGUAGCCGGCCUGAGAGGGUGACCGGCCACACUGGGACUGAGAUACGGCCCAGACUCCUACGGGAGGCAGCAGUGGGGAAUAUUGCACAAUGGGCGCAAGCCUGAUGCAGCGACGCCGCGUGAGGGAUGACGGCCUUCGGGUUGUAAACCUCUUUCAGCACCGACGAAGCGCAAGUGACGGUAGGUGCAGAAGAAGGACCGGCCAACUACGUGCCAGCAGCCGCCGUAA
rnacentral:rRNA from 1 species